UUUGAAACGAAGAAAUCGCCUAAGACCGCAUGGACUGUGAGACAAAAGAUCUAGCCUAGUGACUAAAGUGGGUAGCAACCCUACUCCUAGAGACUAAGUGUCGUCACCCCUAGGUAUUCCCAAAAGAGAAUAGUUGUGUUUCUCUAUUAAAACAUUAAUGUAGUAUGCCCAAUUUAGCCCGGGCCCCAAAAAACCAAAUAAUAAAUAAAACAUAAAAAUAAAAAAAGCCCAAAUUACAUUAAAUCUAGUAGACUCAAAUACAAGCCCAAAUUAGAAACCCUAUACCAAAAAUUACAAGCCCAACAACCUAAACUAUUUUCAGCAAAAAAUAAACCCUAGUCCCUAACCCUCUUCAGCCGCCGUCCCUAGCUGCCACCACGCGCGCCAC
rnacentral:lncRNA from 1 species